CCUGGAUCCUGUUACACUACCUGGCAAAAGGCUUUGUGGAUGGACUUAAGGUUAUCCAGCAAGAACACAGGACCUCAGUCCUACAACCACAUGGAACUGAAUUCUACUGACAACCUGAAUGAGCCUGGAAGUGGCUUCUCCCCAGAGCUUAGCCUUGCCAACACCUUGAAAAACUUGAAGCAGAGAAACCAGCUGAGCCCACCAGGUAUCUGAUCUACUGAACUGUAAGGAUGACAAAACUGUAUUGUUUUGGCUGGGCAUGGUGGCCCAUGCCUAUAAUCCCAGCACUUUGGGAGGCCAAGACAGGCAGAUCACUUGAGCCAAGGAGUUCAAGACCAGCCCCAACAUGGUGAAACUCUGUCCCUUAAAAAAAAACAAAAACAAAAACAAAACUUUAUUGUUUUAAGCCACUAAAUUUGUGGUAAUUUGUUACAGCAGUCACAGACAACUAAUAUGGAGCAGAAGAGUAAAUAAAUGAUGUCACUUGAUUUGGGCCUGAUAUGCUUUUUUUCUUUUUCGGACAUGGAGUCUCGCUGUGUCACCCAGGCUACAGUGCAGUGGUGUGAUCUCGGCUCACUGCAACCUCCGCCUCCCGGGAUCAAGCGAUUCUCCUGCCUCAGCCUUCCAAGUAGCUGGGAUUACAGGUGCCUGCCACCAUGCCCAGCUAAUUUUUGUAUUUUUAGUAGAGAUGGGGUUUUGCCAUGUUGGCCAGGCUGGUCUUGAACUCCUGACCUCAGGUGAUCCACCUGCCUUGGCCUCCCGAAGUGCUGGGAUUACAGGUGUGAGCCACCACGCCCGGCCUGGGCCUGGUAUGUUUGGGCUCUGUGUACCCCCACAAGUCUCAUCUCAAGUUGUGAUCCUAAGCGUUGGAGGUGGGGCCUGGUAAGAGGUGGCUGGAUCAUGGGGGCAGACUUCCCCCUUGCUGUUCUUGUGAUAGUGAGUGAGUUCUCACGAGAUCUGGUUAAAAGUGUGCGGCACUUCCCCCUUGCUCUCUCUCUCUCCUGCUCCGCUAUGGUAAGAUGUGUUUGCUUCCCCUUUGCCUUCACUAUGAUUGUGCGUUUCCUGAGGCCUCCCAGCUAUGCUUCCUGUACAGCUUGCAGAACUAUGAGUCAAUUAAACCUUUUCUUCAUAAAUU
rnacentral:lncRNA from 10 species